AGUUGGUGGAGUGAUUUGUCUGGUUAAUUCCGAUAACGAACGAGACCUUAACCUGCUAAUUAGUCGUCCCCAUUUUAUGGGAAAUGACUUCUUAGAGGGACUAUGCAUAUCAAGUGCAUGGAAGUUUGAGGCAAUAACAGG
rnacentral:rRNA from 1 species